rnacentral:rRNA from 1 species
AGCGAACGCUGGCGGCAGGCCUAACACAUGCAAGUCGAACGAAGCCUUCGGGCUUAGUGGCGGACGGGUGAGUAACACGUGGGAACGUACCUUUUGGUUCGGAACAACUCAGGGAAACUUGAGCUAAUACCGGAUGAGCCCUUAGGGGGAAAGAUUUAUCGCCGAAAGAGCGGCCCGCGUUAGAUUAGCUAGUUGGUGAGGUAAAGGCUCACCAAGGCUACGAUCUAUAGCUGGUCUGAGAGGAUGAUCAGCCACACUGGGACUGAGACACGGCCCAGACUCCUACGGGAGGCAGCAGUGGGGAAUCUUGCGCAAUGGGUGAAAGCCUGACGCAGCCAUGCCGCGUGAAUGAUGAAGGUCUUAGGAUUGUAAAAUUCUUUUGCCAGGGACGAUAAUGACGGUACCUGGAGAAAAAGCCCCGGCUAACUUCGUGCCAGCCGCCGCCGUAAAAC